UGAUCCUGGCUCAGAUUGAACGCUGGCGGCAUGCCUUACACAUGCAAGUCGAACGGUAACAGGUCUUUCGGGAUGCUGACGAGUGGCGAACGGGUGAGUAAUACAUCGGAACGUGCCUAGUAGUGGGGGAUAACUACUCGAAAGAGUGGCUAAUACCGCAUGAGAUCUAUGGAUGAAAGCAGGGGACCUUCGGGCCUUGUGCUACUAGAGCGGCCGAUGGCAGAUUAGGUAGUUGGUGGGAUAAAAGCUUACCAAGCCUGCGAUCUGUAGCUGGUCUGAGAGGACGAUCANCCACACUGGGACUGAGACACGGCCCAGACUCCUACGGGAGGCAGCAGUGGGGAAUUUUGGACAAUGGGGGAAACCCUGAUCCAGCAAUGCCGCGUGCAGGAUGAAGGCCUUCGGGUUGUAAACUGCUUUUGUACGG
rnacentral:rRNA from 1 species